rnacentral:rRNA from 1 species
GUGGAUUAGAUACCUUAGUAGUCCACGCUGUAAACGAUGGGCACUAGGUGUUCGGGGUAUUGACCCCCCGAGUGCCGCAGCUAACGCAUUAAGUGCCCCGCCUGGGGACUACGGCCGCAAGGUUAAAACUCAAAGGAAUUGACGGGGGCCCGCACAAGCGGUGGAGCAUGUGGUUCAAUUCGACGCAACGCGAAGAACCUUACCUGGGCUAGACAACACCGGACACCCCUAGAAAUAGGGUCUUCCCGCAAGGGACUGGUGGUUCAGGUGCUGCACGGUUGUCGACAACU